rnacentral:lncRNA from 1 species
CUCUAACAAAGUUACUACUCCCUCCGCCGUAAGAUUUUCAAAACAUACGGAACAGCGGGAGUAGUUUAAUCCUUAGUUCGCCAUAAGUCAGAAACCCGUCAUGAAAACAAAAUACGAAGGCAAGCGGAGAAAUAAAUAUUUCAGGGGACAAGAGCAAUAGCAGCAUAUCACCAGAUGUAACUAACAUUAACAGAAAAGCAGGCAGCAGCAAACGCAGUUCACACACACAAAGCUCACAUCCAACACCACGUACUGCAGUAGCAUCCAACAUAACGAACGGGAUAAACUUUAGGGUAAAAGACUGGUACAAGUGCUCGCUUAGUCGACCUCCUCGAUCUUGGGGCCAGCGCCGCCGGCAGCCGGAGGCGCAUCGUCCUCGUCCAUGCCACCCGCCAUGUCAGCUCCGGCACCCUGGUACAUCUUGGCGAUUAUGGGGUUGCAGAGGCCCUCCAGCUCCUUCAUCUUGUCGUCAAACUCAUCUGCCUCAGCAAGCUG